rnacentral:rRNA from 1 species
UGGGAACGCGAAGAACCUUACCUACUCUUGACAUCCAGAGAACUUAGCAGAGAUGCUUUGGUGCCUUCGGGAACUCUGAGACAGGUGCUGCAUGGCUGUCGUCAGCUCGUGUUGUGAAAUGUUGGGUUGAGUCCCGCAACGAGCGCAACCCUUAUCCUUUGUUGCCAGCGAUUCGGUCGGGAACUCAAAGGAGACUGCCAGUGAUAAACUGGAGGAAGGUGGGGAUGACGUCAAGUCAUCAUGGCCCUUACGAGUAGGGCUACACACGUGCUACAAUGGCAUAUACAAAGAGAAGCGACCUCGCGAGAGCAAGCGGACCUCAUAAAGUAUGUCGUAGUCCGGAUUGGAGUCUGCAACUCGACUCCAUGAAGUCGGAAUCGCUAGUAAUCGUGGAUCAGAAUGCCACGGUGAAUACGUUCCCGGGUC